UGGAACGGAGCAUUGUUGGGUUGAGACGUUCCUUUUCUUUCAGAUGAAAAUGUGUAGAAAACUACUCUAAACUUUGCCCUUUUAACGAUAGCAUUGGACACUUUUGUGGAAGGAAAUAUUCAGCCGUUGCCCGCAAAUGCUGAAUUCUUGAAAAAGGACCGUUCAUUAGAGACGCGUAGCGAAAUGAAGUAGUACUGCAGUUAGAGAUAGAUCACACCGGCUGAAUCUUGCCGGCGUUCGAAUUCGGACAUCAUUUUGAGAUUUUCAUCUCAAUGGCUUAGCGUACUGUUACCACAUACUCGACACAAAGCUGCCUGUUUCAGGUGCUGUGACCACAUACCUGACACAGGUGCUGUUACCACAUACCUGACACCUGUGUGAGUCAU